AGAGGCUGUUCCUCUGAGAGAUUAUCCUCAGAAUAGAUAACUCGAAUAAUUCUGCGCCCUCUAGCGGCCUAUAGCCUAUCGAGGUAGCAAUCGGAGAUUAGACGGAGAUCGGUAACUCGAAUAAUUCAGCGCCCUCUAUCCACUACUUUUCUCGAGGAAAAUGGAGUGAUCGAAGUGAUCGUAAUAUAACGACUGGAUUAUUCGGGUUAGGAGAUCGGCGGAAUAUAGCGACUGAAAUUAUUCGGGUUACAGAAGAGAGGAUUGGCU
rnacentral:lncRNA from 1 species